rnacentral:rRNA from 1 species
AGCAUAUCAAUAAGCGGAGGAAAAGAAACUAACAAGGAUUCCCCUAGUAACUGCGAGUGAAGCGGGAAAAGCUCAAAUUUAAAAUCUGGUGGUCUUUGGCCAUCCGAGUUGUAGUCUGGAGAAGUGCUUUCCGCGUUGGACCGUGUACAAGUCUCUUGGAACAGAGCGUCGUAGAGGGUGAGAAUCCCGUCUUUGACACGGACUACCAAUGCUUUGUGAUGCGCUCUCAAAGAGUCGAGUUGUUUGGGAAUGCAGCUCAAAAUGGGUGGUAAAUUCCAUCUAAAGCUAAAUAUUGGCGAGAGACCGAUAGCGAACAAGUACCGUGAGGGAAAGAUGAAAAGCACUUUGGAAAGAGAGUUAAACAGUACGUGAAAUUGCUGAAAGGGAAACGCUUGAAGUCAGUCGCGUUGGCCGGAACUCAGCCUUGCUUUUGCUAGGUGCACUUUCUGGUUGACGGGCCAGCAUCAAUUUUGAUUGUUGGAUAAAGGCUGGGGGAAUGUGGCACCUUCGGGUGUGUUAUAGCCUUCAGUCACAUACAACAGUUGGGAUUGAGGAUCUCAGCACGCCUUUAUGGCCGGGGUUCGCCCACGUUCGUGCUUAGGAUGCUGGCAUAAUGGCUUUAAUCGACCCGUCUUGAAACACGGACCAAGGAGUCUAACAUGCCUGCGAGUGUUUGGGUGGAAAACCCGAGCGCGUAAUGAAAGUGAAAGUUGGGAUCUCUGUCAUGGAGAGCACCGACGCCCGGACCUGACCUUCUGUGACGGCUCCGCGGUAGAGCAUGUAUGUUGGGACCCGAAAGAUGGUGAACUAUGCCUGAAUAGGGUGAAGCCAGAGGAAACUCUGGUGGAGGCUCGUAGCGAUUCUGACGUGCAAAUCGAUCGUCAAAUUUGGGUAUAGGGGCGAAAGACUAAUCGAACCAUCUAGUAGCUGGUUCCUG